GUCGGUCACGCGGGCUGCAGAGGAGGGACGUCGGCGUCGUGGAACGGAGAUCCGGGGUGUGGCGCGGUGCAGGGGCGCGCCUCCAGCGACGGCAGAGGCGGAUCUGCGGCUUUGACGGGCUACUGGCGUCACGGGUCCCUGUGGCGGCGAGUGCGCAGGCCGGCUGCGGUGGAUCUGGACUUGCUGUCGUGGGGAGGUUCUUGCGGCGGGCAAAUCUGGAGCAGCAGCAGCCAACGCAGGGGUAGCAGACAGAGGCGCGGCAGAGGAGGGCUCGGUGACUCAGCUGGUGUGGCGGCGACGCGGCUUCCAGUGGACGGAUGGCAGAGCGGAGUGGCGUCGGGGGGCGGGGCUUCGACGAGGCGAAGGGCGCCGGAUGCGGGCCGGGGCACUGGAACUCCGGUGCUGCAGAUCGGAGACGGGACGACCCAACGGCGUGGGGGAAUCGGGUCGGCGCGAGCUUCGGGUUGCGGCUCUGGCAACAGAUCGGGGAAGCGACGGUGCUGCUCACGGAGGCGGGCGGUCGCGGUAGAGGCGGUCGCAACGGCACGGGGACGGCUUGGCGGGCGGAGGUCGGCGGCUCGGCCGCCGGUAGGGAUCCCUCCCCCACGAGGAAGAUGAACAGUCGCAAAGGGGGAUGCUUUUCUUUUCUUUUCUUUUCUUUUUUCUCUCUUUUUUUUUUCACUUUUCCUCUCUCCACUCACUCUUUCACCUUUUGCUCUUUUUUCUUCUUUUUUUUUUACCGACGGAAUGCCCCCUUUCUUGCUCCAAAUUUUUUGAAAUCCCUUCCCCCUUUUGUCCGUAUGUGCGCAACGCCUUUUAUAGGGAAAAUUUUAGAUCUUUGAAGCGUAUUUUAUUUCCAAUUUUACUUGUGCAUAAUUCUCUGAAUAUAUCAUUGCACCACACGUGAUAUUCUCUUUUGUAUUUAUCAAAUAUCCCAUCCAAAAUUUUCCUUUUUGCUUGAAAAUAUAGCCUUUGGUGUAUAUUGCCUAAAUAUGUGAAGAAUCUGAACAGAAUAUGUGAAAAAUCUUCCCUUCACUGGCGGCCUAAAAUAAAACAAAAAUAAAAUGUUUCUAAACUAUAUGCCAUGUGAUUUUUUUUUUUAGUAAAAAUUAACCCUAAAAAUUAUGCAAAAAUUUAGGUGUCAACAGCUGCUCCUCUUUGAAUGUGAGCUCGAAGAGGUUGCCUUCAAAGACAAAUUAAGACCUAAAUUUUGGUCAUGCACAUGCAAUGAAUGAUUUUUUGUUGGAAAAUGAAUUCCAUUUUUUAAUGCAAAUUAUAUGAUGUAUGAAAAUACUAAUGCAAAUGAUAGAUGAACCUACUUGAAAUAACUUACCUUCGAGGAGGAUAGAGUAAUUCGAGGUAGUGGGUGUUACCUGUCCAGGACCCGUACUAUUCUACGGUUGCCUAGAAUAGUAACAUGACUUUGUGAAGAUGCUGCUUUCCUAGGACCCGUAUCAUUCUACGGUCGCCCAGUAUGGCAGAAAGGAGCUGCUUUUUCAGGACCCAUACCAUUCUACGGUCGCCAAUACGGCAGAAAGGUUUUGUAAGGAACUGCUUUCCUAAGACCCGUACCAUUCUACGGUCGCCCAGUACGGCAGAAAUGUUUUGUCUAAAACCCAUACCAUUCUACGGUCACCGAAACAAUGAUUCAUUUUCCAGGACCUGUACCAUUCUACGGUCGCCUGAAUAAGGAAUAUGUGUUGUCAAGGACCCGUACCAUUCUACGGUCGCCUCGACGAAGAAAAUUAUUUUUCCAGGACCCGUACCAUUCUACGGUCGCCUGAAUGAGGAAAUUGCUUUUCCAAAACCCGUACCAUUCUACGAUCGCCUAUUAGAGCAAUAAAUGUUGUCUAGGACCCGUACCAUUCUACGGUCGCCUAGAUUGAGGUUUUGCUUGGCUAGGACCCGAACCAUUCUUCAGUUGCCCAGCCUUGCGACAGAAAUCAUCCGACCAGGACCCGAACCAUUCUUCGGUCGCCUUAAUCAGAUUGAAUCUGGAGGAAAAAUCUUUGGAGGACAACUCCAUUGAGUGUCGAUGUAAAGGACUCUAAGCUACGAAAGCACGCCAGGUCGAUAAAAGAAAUCUGGGCUAUGGAAGCACGCGGUUCGAUAAAAUGGACUCUGGGCUACGAAAGCACGCCAGGUCAAGAAAGAGACAUCGGGCUAUAGAAGCACGCCGAGUCGAUGAAAAUGACUAUGGGCUACGAAAGCACGCCAGGUCGAUAUAACUGGACAGCUUGACCAAGUCAAGUGUUGAUGCACUUGAGAGAGAAUACCUGCACAAUGACAAGUAUUUUAGAGUAUGGUAAAGAUAUACUUACCUGGUGACAUCUCUGAUUCUUGGGGAUAUGUCUUUUGAAAUUUAGAUAUCCUGUGGAGGUCUUUCACCUCAUGGUGAAGGUUUCUCAUCUCCUAAUAUCAUGAAACAUUAUGAAAGGAACUUGAAUUACCUGUCAGACAUGAUUUAGAGCAAAAACUGAUAGACAAUUUGAGCUACUCUAGAAUGCACAUUUCAAAAUUCAGUGAAAUUCUCAUUAAUUCAAUCGGGGUUCAUGCAUAAUGACCUUUGCAUCACCCAAAUUUCCACUGGAGAGAAUUAUCAUUCAAGACAAUCUUCACUCAUGACAUGGAUUUCCUAAAAAUACUAAAUGAGAGACCUUCAGUUAGAAAUGACUUUCACUUACUCUCAUUUAGAGGCUAUUUUAUGAUAAUCACUCUAUCUCACUAUCAUCAUACCAACAAGGGUCCAAGUAUUCUCGCAAGCGGUACGACCUUACCAAUCUGAGAGGUCUUUAAUAGGGACCGUAAUGUGGGCUUGGUCAAUGGCUUAACAAAGGGACUCAUCGAGUCAAAGCAAUUGAAAGAACAGCUUCGCAAUCAUCUCCGGGUUUACAAGUCAAGAACCCUGCAAAAUGAGAAAGAAAUAGUCUUGCUCGCACUCCUUCGAGCGAUGCUUAAAACAUGUGAACCCCUAUGUUAAUUCAAGUGCCCUAAUCUGAAGAGACUUGUAAGGGACGUAACAUAGGCUGGGUUCAUGGGUUGAGAAAUGAAAAGAUCAUUAGGCUCAAAAUGUGUGUGAAUGGUGAGGGUUGGUGAUCAUCUUGGCAUUGUCACUAGUUUUCUUUUUCAUCAUCGGGGAUUGUCUUCAUGAAAUGCCCCAUUGAUUGUAAAAACUCAACUUUUGAGUUCUUUGAGUAUUGCUCUAUCAGGAUUCAAUUCUUGCAAUUGAGAAUCACCUUAUAUUGACUCUCUUUUUCAUCUAUGGGCAUUGGCCUUACUUUUACCAGCACACCACAUUUUCACGCCCCUAGUUCUCGUUCAUUUUUUUUCUUCACUUUUUUUUCAUGGGCAUUGGCCUUACUUUUACCAGGCACAUUGCUUUUUCAUGCCCCUUAAUUCUAUUUUGAAUUCAAUUCUUGCGCAUAAUGCAUGCGUCAAGCAAUUACACUUUGAAUGACACUCGAACUUUUCAAGAGUCUUCAUCUGCCUUUUGCCUUGCCCCAAUGUGAGGGAUGAUCACCAACUGAGUUUAAAGAAAUGAAAAAUUGCAGGCUCAAAUGGGCUGUGCAAAGGAUAUAAGUAUGUAGGAUAAAGAAAAAAUGCUCUUCGUCAUUCUAAGGCACUUAAAUUACCAUAUGAAUUCAAUGUAAUAGCACGACUUAAAAAUUGAUGCAAGUGAGAGCAAGAAAUUUCUUUUCAUUUUCCUCACCUCAUGAUGCCGUCUUACCUCCAACUUGCCCCAAUGUGGGGUGGUUCUUGACAGGGAUAAUUUGAAAAAAAUCUCCACAAAUGUAUGGGGCUCAAAAGGGGUUAAGCAAUGUAUCACUUGUAGUGUUCGGGAUAGAGAAAUGAACUGCCUCUCAUCAUUUCGGUCAUCAUACCUUUUACGAGAGAACUCUUUACCUUGUAGAUAUGGAACUUCCUACACUCAUCUCACAAAUGUAUAAGUAGGGAAUUGUGUAUAGGAUAAGGCUUGCCUUUCAUCAUACUGACACGUCUCAUUCAGCAUUCUUAAGCAUUGAUGUCACUCCAUUAAAUUGUCUAUCUUGACAAAUCUCCACAUGAAAUUGGUAAGCUAAAUCAAUAUGAAAAUUUUCUUUUCAAAAGAGUUCAGCAACUUUAAGCAUAAAAAGCGUUUGUGACCUCAAAACAAACAAUUUACUACACUCAAACAUGAUUUCAAGCAUUCAUUCAAGGAAUUGUUCCAUGAAGGGAUUGUCUCAGCAAUGGAUGUCCCUAGAUUGCCUCUAUCGAAAGGGAAUAAACACACAAAUUGAUCAAUCGAUGAUGAAAAUCCGAUCUUUGAUUUGAUGAAAUCUUGCUUUUGCCCCUGCACAAAACAAUGUGCAUGAAUAGGAUACUAUGCAACAUCAAAGUAAAUUCAAAUUGCACAACUAUUUUGACUCGAAUCGAGAUUUUGUCUCAGUCAUGUCACUACUAGAAUCUGUAGUGCCCCCAAUUCGUCAUAUGCAAGGAAAAGAACAAAGCAUCAUCUCCCAAAAUUAUUUAUGUUCAAAAACAAGAUGUACCUCUUUCACCAAAGAUGGAUGAUCCUCUUUUAACUUGCCCGUCAUUUAAUGGGCGAGAAUGAAAAUUCCGUCAAGCAUGGAAAUGGAACACACUUUGUUUGGCCCUUCAAGAUGGAUAUUAACUCUUUAGAAACUUGUUGAGUAACAAUUGAACCAAUUGCAACUUGAUGUGCCUUUUUCAGAUGCUUUCUUAUCGGGUCAAGAAAGUAAUGCUCUGAAACAUGAAGUAAAUGAGUCAGAAAAUUAAACAAGGCUAAUCUAACGCAUGCUUUUUGGAAAUGGCUUGAAAAAUGAUCUUUUUUUUUUUGUUCUUUUGGAUUUUUUUUUGGAUGAGGAAGCAUGAAGAAGCCGAGUCCUCAGAAUUCUCCUUGGAUGAUAUUUUCUUUUCAUUGUUGGAUAUCAUCACCGGACUAGUUUGGUGUACCCCAUCAUGUCCUCAAAACAAAACUUGUAAUUUUAUUGAUAUUCAUCAAUCGAAUUACAUUUAUUGGAAUGUGAUGUUCAAGCACAGAAGAAAUCAAUCCCUAAAAAGCGAUAAAAAUUCUCAUGCGGGGGAAGAUGUAUGCCCCUGAUUAAAUGAGGAAAUCGAACUACUUAGGACCAUGAAUCAUGUGUACAUGAAUUCUUCACCCUUCUUGAUCUUGUGAUGCAAGCCCUUCAGGUUUGAUAUUCUUCCAUUUAGAUAUGUUGCUACCCUCUUCAUGAUGGCAUCAAAUUCGACUACCUCAGGAAAAUGAGACAAUUCAAAAGGUCUUCUUGGCUCUCUUCUUGGAGUCGCAAUUUAUCACUGAAGAUAGAUUGCGGCAUUUUUGCUUGACAAGAUAAGCUCUUUUUGAUCUGUCAUUUUGGCUCUUGAUCGUGAACGGAUGGGUGAGCGAGAUCGUUCCAUAAUCACCUAGUUCAAAUGAACGGGAACAUGUAAGAACGAGGGUAAAUAAAAAGUCAAUCCAUGACAAUGAUCUAAUUGAUUUUUCCAUUUUUUUUUCAUUUACUCAUGAAAAGUUUGUACAAGAAGGGCAUUUCCUAAAAAUGGACAAGGAAAAUAAAGAUAGACACCCCAGCGAGACUAAAUUCGCUAGACAUGAAUUGAAAACGAAUUCUCCAAAGUUUUUUUAUUUUAUUUGCAAAUGAUUCAUUGCAUGGCAAUUUCCUCAUUUUACAUCUAAUUGACAAAUGAAUUAAAUCAAUAAUUGACCUAGAUUGUCAUGGACGGACCAAAAGUAUGACAAAGUAAGUAAAUUGCAAUAGUAUAGGGAAAGAAGACUUACUUCACCAAGGAGAAUCAAUGGUAAUCACGUAGCCAUGCGCAUGGUAAGUGGCUCGAUUUCUAAUUUAUAAGGCUUAUCAAGGUGGAGCAACAAGGAUGAUCGGACUAGCCACGGGCUUGUGGACUAUGUCGGGCCCUCAUGACUCCAGCUUGGUCAAAGAGCCGACCCGGGUCGCGAGCAUGCGGACCGAGGUGGGUACUCUUGACACCAUGAAAUAAACUUCGGGAUUGAGAUGGGGGACUCGUACUACAAGCAUGCGGUCGGAGUGGUAUCCAUUUCAAUACCAUCCUAAAUGAUCAUAUGCGGCCUAGGUCCGACGGCAAGUUGUGUGUGCAACAGUGUAGUGCUAGAUGCAAGGCAUGCACGAUAGUUUAUAUCAAGCAACACUUCGUUCAUGAAAAUAAACCAUACAUUCCUACGCCUUCCUACAAAACAAAGGUUAACAAACACUUCCUCUUAUACCUCCCAUCCUGCAAGAACAUUUAAAGUGCGUACCUGAAAUCAUUGCUGCCAAACAAAACAUUUUUCAAAAGAAAAAAAAAUUGUCCUAAGUCCACUAAGAGUUUCAACUCAAGUCCCCAGUGGAGUCGCCAAGCUGUCGCGACCAAUAUUUUUCGGAUGUGAACCAUCUAGGGUUUGGCUAAUGGAUUGUUAAGCUUAGACUUAACUUGAGCUCUCCCAAGCCCAUACCAAUUCGUGACUUAGGUUCAAGUUCUUAACAUGCAAUUGAUUUUCAAUUAGGAGUCGCCACUAAUCUAUUUUUGGUGAGUCGAUUAGAAACCCAAAUAAAAUAACGGGAGAAUUAUUUUACUCCUACGAACCAGAUACUAUGGGUACGGGGACUUGGUUAAGCUAGAAUUCUCUAACGCCCUUUUGGUACCUUUCUUUUUAUUUUGAAAAAUGUUUGGCAAGUAGUUUGGAUUGAUUUUAAAUCUAUUUCCCUAACACGUGAGGUGGUCAUAUGGGUGCACAAUCCACCAAUUUAACACCCAAAUAAACAAUAAAUAAAUUGCAAAAAAACAUACCUCAAAGCAACGAAAGCAUCUGCAAUGUUAAAUUAAAAUCCACAUCAAUAAUCCUAGAUAUGGUUUCUAAUUAACACGCAAUUUCUUUUUUUUUUUCACUUUUUUAAUGAAAAUCAUACAAUAUGCAAUGCAAUAUUAACUAAAUGACCUAAUUCUAUUGACAUGUAAUUUCUAAUUAAAUGGGCCUAGCAAAAAUACUAAAUGACAUGCAUCUCAAUGAAUCUAACCUUAAUGACGUGCAUAUGAAGUUUUUUUUUUUUUUUCUAAAAGAAUGCAUUUCAUUCUAAAUAAUAAAACUAAUUUAACCUAUGACAUUUUUUUGUAUUUUUCAUGAAAUUCGAGAUUAAAUAGAAUGUGAAAAUUAUCUAACUAGAUUAAGAUUAUAUUCAAUUUGUAUCAGGAAUUAGGUUGAACCAAAUCCUAAUUUAAACUAAAAUAUUAUCUUAACCCAAAUAAUCCUAAAAUGCAAUCUAUCUAAUAUCUAAACUUAUAAUAAAUUAAGAAAAAUAUUAUCUAGAAUUAAACUAAAUGCAAUUUUACCCUAGUAUGCAAUGACGUACAAAAAGAUGCCCUAACUCUACAUGACAUAUGCAUGAUGACUUUUUUUUGUGUUUUUCCUUUUUUCUUUUUUUUUUUAAUUUCGAAAUUAAUAAUUGCCAAAUAAUUAAACAUGCAAUCCAAGUUAAAAAAAAAACUAGCAACCUAAAUUAAUUGAUUUGAUUCUUUUUUUUUUUGGAAAAUUCGAAAUAAAAUUCCUAUUGUGAGCAUGCAAACCCUAAAACUACAUUUUUUUUUUUUUUUUAUAGAAAACUAACCUAGUAACACCACGGCAAAUCAAGCAAUACCGGUAUCUAAAUUGACGAACAAUAUCUCGUGCAUAAAAUCGGGUUAGCCAAUUUCACAUAAAUCACGAAUCGGAUCUCGGGCGGGAGAUCGAGUUGGCAAUUUUUUUAAAGUAAUUGCGAAUCGGAUUUCGGGCACGAAAAUCGGACUGACAAUCACUAAUUUCAAGGCAAUUUCAUAUCACGGAAUUUCAAUUUCACAUUAAAGGAAUAAUUACACUAAAAAGAUAAAAUAGCAAAAAUAAUAAAACAAAAAUAAGAUAAAGAAAAUACCUAAAUUUUCUUUUGCUUUUCUCUUUUUUUCUUUUCUUUUUUGUUUUUGAAAAAGAAAAAGAAAAAUAAAUCUGGUGGCCGGUCCGGCGAGGGGAGAUCACCUGCUAGGGGUUCCGGCGAGGGCACCGGGAGCGGCGCGACGGCGGCACUGCAACAGGGGCUUCGGGGAUCAGCACGGGGCGACGCGGGCGGCACGGCGAAACUGGUGGGCGGCGUCGCGGAAGGAGCAAGAGCUUCGGGUCUCCUGGCGUCGGUCACGCGGGCAGCAAAGGGGGGACGUCGGCGUCGUGGAACGGAGAUCCGGGGUGUGGCGUGGUGCAGGGGCGCGCCUCCAGCGACGGCAGAGGCGGAUCUGCGGCUUUGACGGGCUACUGGCGUCACAGGUCCCUGUGGCGGCGAGUGCACAGGCCGGCUGCGGUGGAUCUGGACCUGCUGUCGUGGGGAGGUUGUUGCGGCGGGCAAAUCUGGAGCAGCAGCAGCCAACGACGGGGUAGCAGACAGAGGCGCGGCAGAGGAGGGCUCGGUGACUCGGCUGGUGUGGCGGCGACGCGGCUUCCAGUGGACGGAUGGCAGAGCGGAGUGGCGUCGGGGGGCGGGGCUUCGACGAGGCGAAGGGCGCCGGAUGCGGGCCGGGGCGCUGGAACUCCGGUGCUGCAGAUCGGCGACGGGACGACCCAGCGGCGCGGGGGAAUCGGGUCGGCGCGAGCUUCGGGUUGCGACUCUGGCAACAGAUCAGCGAAGCGGCGGUGCUGCUCACGGAGGCGGGCGGCCGCGGUAGAGGCGGUCGCAACGGCGCGGGGACGGCUUGGCGGGCGAAGGUCGGCGGCUCGGCCGCCGGUAGGGAUCCCUCCCCCACGAGGAAGAUGAAC
rnacentral:lncRNA from 1 species